AAAAAAAAAAAAAGACAUGUCAAUGACCAAAGGGCACAUGGAAAGAUCAUUAGUCAUAUGGGAAAUACAAAUCAAAAUACAAUGAUACCAUUGUAUCAUUUCACAAAAUACCAUUUCACACACUAAGAUGGCUAUAAUUUUUAACUAGAAAUAAAUGUUGGUAAAGAUGUGGAGAAAUUGGAACCCUCAUAUAUCGCUGGUAGAAGUGGAAAAUGUAUAUCCACUUUAAAAAAGUUUGGUAGUAUCUCCAAAUAUUAAACAUAUGUUUACCAUAUGACCCAGCCAGUCUACUACUAGAGAAUUGAAAAAAUAUGUUCAUACAAAAACAUAUUAAAAUAUUUAUAGCAGUAUUAUUUAUAAUAACCAAAAAUUGAAAACAAACCAAACAUCCAACUAUUUAUGGAUGAAUAAAAUGUGUUAUGCCCAUACAAUGGAAUAUUAUUUAACAAUAAAAUAGAAUGAAGCUCUCAUAUAUUUUUUUGCAUGCAUAGACCUUAAAAUUAUUAUGCUCAGUAAAAGAAGCCAAGCACAAAAGACCACACAUUGUAUGAGUCGAUUUAUAUGAAAUACCCAAAUAUUUAAAAUCCAAAUAGACAAACCCAUUGAGACAGAUAUCAGAUUAAUUAUUAUCAAGGUCAAGGAAAAAGGGGGACUAGGGAGUGACUGCUACUGAGUAAGGGGUUUUAUUUACAGUGACAAAAAAUGCUUUGGUAUUAGAUUGUGGGUUUGUGAUUAUUGCAAAAUCUUCUGAAUAUACUAGAAAGCCACUGAAAUGCAGUUGAUUCACCUUAGAAUGGUGAAUACUUUGGUAUGUAUAUUAAAAAUCAAUUUAAAAUGAUUGUAUUUUAAAACGACUUGUUAAGUUUUAAAUGUAUAUAUGUAUAUAUACAUAUUUAACAUAUAUACAUUUAUAUGCAUAUUUAUAUAUACAUAUAUAUACAUAUUUAACAACUCUACUUUUUAAUUCUAGUGGGUAUGGAAGCUAGUAAUAGUCAUUUUCACUAGGUCUUUCUUCAUCAUUACACAUUGUGCUCAUACCAGUAUAUGUAUCCCAUCAAAAAAGUAGCAUAGAUUAAGCAUUGCAUGGUCAGCAUGUCUGUGCUGCAGUACUAAUGGAGAUCACCUGUUCUCCCACUCCAGGUACCUUGAGGACAACGAGUGGGACUACACCAAAGCUGGUCAGGUCUUCACAAAGCUCAAGAAGGAAAGCAAGAUCCCAGAGGAGGCCUUCAAACAAAUCACCUAAAAGAAGUCUUGGAUGUUCAUAUCAUCUUUGUUUCUCUUUUCUCUAGUCUAAGGCCAUGCCCAUAACUGGGGAUAGAGGCCUGGCUGACCAAGAAGCCAAAAUUACCUUGCAGGCCAGGUAUCAUAACCACCUGAAGGAUCAGUUGUUCCAUGUAUUUUCCCCACUCAUGUUUGCUGUUUAUUUGCAUAAUAAAGAGUGAUGCUGUAGAUUGAA